rnacentral:lncRNA from 1 species
CACGGAGAUCACUUUCGAAGAGAAAGGGAACGAAAGACCAAAUGUAACACCUGCUGAUGUUGUCUUCAUUGUUGAUGAAAAACCCCACUCUGAGUUCACUCGUGAUGGAAAUGACUUGAUCGUCACUCGAAGGAUUUCUGUAGCUGAAGCCUUUACAGGCUACACUGUCCAUCUUACAACCUUGGAUGGCAGGAGUUUAACCUUUCCGAUCAACGAUGUGAUCCAUCCCAACUAUCAGAAGGUUGUCCCGAAUGAAGGGAUGCCGAUCCCCGGCGACCCAACAAAGAGAGGGAUUUUGAAAAUCAAGUUUGAUAUCAGGUUCCCAACAAGGGUUAAUGCAGAGCAGAAGGCAGGAAUCAGGAGACUCUUUGGUCCUUGAGAUCUCUAUAUCAGCAUGUGAGACAUAUCCUAUGUGAAGGAAGCCUUUGGAUUGGUAUCCUCUUGCUGCAGUUUGUGAUAAAUUGCAGUGGUAUUUGACAGUUUCAGACUUUUAAAUUGUGUUGUGUGUGUGUGUUGUGUGUGUGAAGUAUGAAAUCUUUCUGAGAUGUUUAAUGUAGGGUUUGGCCAACUUCUUAAUUAUGGUAUCAAUUAUGGAAAAUGCUUCCCCUUGAUUGGUGUUGAAUUCUUCCUUUCUUCAGUUCAAAAGGUCGAGCAUGGAGAGCAUUUCCCUCCGGCCAUAUCCUGAAACAUGAGUCAAAACACAGGUUUUAUAUAACAGUUUUUACAUAAUUUUUGGUUUUUUAACCAAGCUUCAUAAAUAUUAUUUAUUCAUCUAUUUUUUAUUAUUUGUAAAAAAAUCAAAAUAUUUUAUUUAAAUAUUUUAUACAUGUUUCCAUUACAAAUAAAUUUUAACUAUAAUUUUUAUCAAAUAUCGAAAUCCAACUAUAUAUAAUUAAAAAUAAUUUUUUAAAACCACAACCAUAAAAAUUAUCUAAAAAACAAAUACACCCUUAAAUAUUCUCCCCUUCAUAAACUAGCCUCACGACCCCCUUUUAACUCUGAAUCUCUAGCAAUUUAAAGGAAAAACUAGAGGUAGUUUUGAAAGAAAACCCUCCCCCCUCCUUCCAAUAGCUGCCGUCGGCCUCCCUCACAGAUAAAAGCAAGGUUGACUAUUUUGUAAUCCUAUUUUAGCCCCCAUUCAAUCUUUUAUUUCUCCCUUAGCUCUACCCUUAAUCCUUAAGAAUAUAAAUAUUAUAAUUUAUCCCCAUUUCAAUUUUUUAUUCCAAUUAACUCCUAAAACUAACCUUCCUCUUCUUUUUUUAUUUAUUCUUUUUCUUUAUUACCACGGAACAUUUUCAUUAUUUUUGUCGUUAUUAUUAUGGAGGUUUAUACGCAGUGUUAUAUAUUAAGGUUUUUUUUAACAUGAACAAUAAGCUAUACAGUAUGAUCAAUAUAAAAGAAAAUUAAAAACCAAAACAUUAAAAAAAAACGAAUUCAAAAGACAAAUCAAAUUAAAUUUGAUAAAUCAAGACACAUUUAUUUAUUUAGACCAAACUCGAUCUGAUGUCAUGGGUCUAAUCAACGACUCUACUUGGUCUCCGUUAUCUUAUUUGAUAUUGACUAUAAAGGACAAGCAAACGAGGCAUUCACAUGCUCCUAUCUUUUUCAAUGUUUUCUUCCACAUCACAUAGCCAACAAGUCUGUUAUUAUUAUUUGGAAAUAUGUACGAGAGAGUAUUCUAAAUCAUUAAUGAUUACUAUAAAAAAUUAAAAAUAAUUAAUGAUAUCAGAGUUUUACUAAUAAGAACAAAGACGAGUCGGAAAUUUACCAACUUAAUCUUUUAAUUAAAUAAAUUAAUUGAAGAAAAAAAAGGUAAGCGUUGUAGUUUGUGUCUUCUAAGCAAAUCGUUUUCAAAUAGUUCCACCGAGUCCAACAACUUAAGCUUUAUGUUGUGCCUGGCCAAUCACUGUCCUUCAAUUCUCCACCACUUUAGAGUAUGAGAGACACUUUUUUUAUAUAUAAUUAAUAUAUAUAUCUUUAUUUUGUUCACAUAUUUUAAAAUUAAUAAUUAUGUAAAUGUUUAGUGUUUUAAAAUUUAUAAAACUUAAAUUAAUUAUUUUUAAAAAAUAAAUAUAUAAUACGACUAGUAGAAUUUACUUUUCCCUUUCCUUUCCUUUAAGAGCAGUUGCAUGACAUAGAAGAGUUCUCUUUGCCUUUCUUUCAUCCACCUUCUAUCAACGAGAUGACUAGUCAGGGUAGGUCAGCUGAUGAUCUCUUUGCUGAAUUUUUCGGGUCUAAUAGCCCAAACCAAAACAGGAGAGGAACAGGGAUCUCCAGUAGGUCAGCUGAUGAUAUCUUUGCUGAAUUUUUCGGGUCUAAUAGCCCAAACCAAAACAGGAGAGGAACGGGGAUCUCCAGUAACAUAAAUGGCGAUGAUAAUGAUAUCUCAAGAUCCUUUGAACAAAGCUUCGAGGUUAGUGCUCCUGGAAAAGAUCCUGCAAUUAAGCACACCCUGCCUUGUAGUCUUGAAGAGCUUUAUCAAGGGGCUACCAAGAGGGUAAAAAUAACUAGACAAGUAGCUGAUCGAAGGGGGUAAGUGUCCUCAACAUCACCUCUUUGGUCCUGUUUUAUGGUCAACUAGUCCUGCUUUAUGGUCAACUGGCUCUGUUUUAUGGUCAACUGCUCUGUAGUUUUGAUCAAACAUGUUGACUCUGAUCACUGGUCCUGGACUUGAUAUGCUUUCCUGUUGUCAAAGAUUUGUGUGAGAUAGUUAUUUUUCAUCAUUUUACAGUCUUCUGAAAGUUCCAAGAGCUUUGUUAAUGGUGUUUCUUGUGCUCUUUCUUUUUUGUGGGAUGGAGCGCAGCUUGACCAGGAAAACAGAGGAGAUUCUAACCAUUGACACAAAGCCUGGUUGGAAGAAAGGCACGAAGAUCACUUUCGAAGAGAAAGGGAACGAAAGACCAAAUGUAACACCUGCUGAUGUUGUCUUCAUUGUUGAUGAAAAACCCCACUCUGAGUUCACUCGUGAUGGAAACGACUUGAUCGUCACUCGAAGGAUUUCUGUAACUGAAGCCUUUACUGGCUACACUGUCCAUCUUAUUACCUUGGAUGGCAGGAAUUUAAGCCUUCCGAUCAAUGAUGUGAUCCAUCCCAACUAUCAGAAGGUUGUCCCGAAUGAAGGGAUGCCGAUCCUCGGCGAGCCAACAAAGAGAGGGAUUCUGAAAAUCAAGUUUGAUAUCAGGUUCCCAGCAAGGGUUAAUGCAGAGCAGAAGGCAGGAAUCAGGAGACUCUUUGGUCCUUGAGAUCUCUAUGUCAGCAUGUGAGACAUCUCCUAUGGGAAGGAAGCCUUUGAUUGGUAUCCUCUAGCUGCAGUUUGCGUUUGUGUUUGUGUUUGUGUUUGUGUUUGUGUUUGUGUCUGUGUCUGUGUGUCUGUGUGAAGCAUGGCAUCUUUCUGAGAUGUUGAAUGCAGGGUUUGACCAUCUUCUUCAUAAUGUUCUUAAUGAAAACUGGUUUCCCUUGAUUGCUGUUGAAUCUUUCCUUUCUUGACAGUAAAAGGUACAACUUGAAAGAGCAUUUACUUCAUUUAAUUUCUAUGAUAAAAACUUGUGCCGAUGGAUGAGAUUCAAAAAUAUAUAAUUUAUAUAAUUGUUUUAUGUUAUUGAAUAUCUGUGUUCGAUCAAAAAAUACUUGAUUGCAUGAUCUAUUGUAAUUUAUAUACUCUUGAAUUAUAAUUGUGAAAUUGGUUUUACCUAAUAUUAAUUAGACUGAUUCAAUUUCUGGUUUAGAUCAAAGUUAAUUUGAUUUGAUUGACCAAAUAAAUUAACUUAUAAUCAGGUUAAAAUCUAAUUUAAUUUUAAAAAAUUCUUCAAAAUAUUUUUGUUUUGGAUUGAUCUACGUAGAAACCGUGACUUGAGCGUAUUCCGAGCUAAAUUUAGUAACUUGGUCCUGAAUACAACAAAAGAUAAUCAAGUCGAUUCAAGGGUAUAGACCCAACCAUUAGCAAAAGGACCAAACUAGAGAAAGAUCUAUUUGGCAUUGCGUUCCAAACGGUGUUUCAUCAAAUUUCAAAAAAAAAAUUUUUUUUUUUUGUUAAAAUUGAGUGUGGUUUGUAUUUUUUAAAUCGUUUUGAUGUGCUGAUGUCAAAAAUGAUUUUUAAAAAAUGAAAAAACAUCAUUGGCAUGUAUUUCGGCAUGAAAAGCUAUUUAAAAAGCAAUCACUACCACACUGCUAAACACGCUCUAAAAGUACAAGGAUGGAUUUAAUAGCAACACAAAGCAAGGUACAAUAAAGAAUAGAGGUGCAAAUUUAACACUAACCCAACUCCUAAACACCACAAACCCCCAAAAAUUACUACUCUACCUCCACCAUCAUCACAUCACCAUAAAUUAACAGAACAAGAGCGAGCGAGCAAAGCACCCCAAAGUACUAGUUCAUUGAAUAAGGACCAAAGUUAAUAUAAAAAUAAAAUUUUAAGAGAUGAAAUUGAAAAAUAAAUAUUUAAAACAAAAUAUAUAUAACAAUCAAAAGUUUGAGGAUCAAAUUUGAUAUAAUCAGCAAAUAAUAACAUUUCUAAAUUUUUCACAAUUUCCGGAAAGUGUUUUCCCCCUAAAUUUUUCAGGAAAACACUUUCCUGAAAACCAAGCCAAAUUUUUCUUUUACUGGAAAAUGUUUUGCAUUGACCAACUUUCUUAAUUACAAACAAACACAAAAAAAUUUGAAAAAUGAUUUCCCGGAAACCACUUUCCGGGAAACAAACACAGUAAAAGGGAAAACACUUUUCUGAAAACCAAGCCAAAUUUUUCUUUGAUUGAAAUUGACUGGAAAGUGUUUUCCGUUGACCGAAAAGUAUUUUUCAUUAACCAACUUUCUUAAUAAUAAACAAAUACAUAAAAGUUUGGAAAAUAAUUUUUCAAAAACUACUUUUUAAAAAACAAACAUGUCCCUCGUUGAUGUAUUCUUCAGUAUGUAUGAGAUGGAUACAUUGAAUUUCUUGACCUUGGAACUACAGCAGCUGCUGUUCUAAUAUAGUACAUCCUUGUAAUGGCGGAUUUUCUGAAUCCAUUAUCCAAAAUGUAGCUUUUCAUCACUUUUCUUUAAUGCCAUAGUAAAUGUGUUUGUUAAUGCAAUUCACUGAAAAAUCAUAUCAUUGAUGGGCUAGCUUGACUUUGUUUCUUGAUAUUGAUGUACCUCGUCAGCCACUCGAAAGCAAACAAGAAAUCACACUAUUAUCUGUAAGGUUGUGUGGUUAGUGUUUCAAAAAAAAAAUGAUAUAAAAAGAUUAAAAAAAAAAAAGUGUCUGAUCGAAGAAAUUAAGACAAAAUCAUAAAAUAAAUAUAUUUUUAUUAUAGUUUUAAGUAAAUCUAUGUAUUUUUAAAAUAAAAAAUACAAUAAAACAUGUCACAUCUAUCCUAACUUAAUUUGAAAUUAUCACAAGAAAACAUGUCAUUAUAUAAUAAUCAAACUCUAACUUAAUUUUAUCUUAUGCUAUGCCCUUUAAGAAUUUCAACAUUUUCAGUAAGCAUUUUAAGCAAGGAGUUAGACUGUCGUUUUUCCAUGGAGCUUUACCAUGUAAUGCUCAGCCCCUGAUAAAAAUUAAGAACAAUCAAGCAUCAAAGCACACAGAAUUUGAACAGAAAAUCAAGGCACUGAUAAAAAUAUAAAAUGCACUCAUGUUGCCUGCAAUGCUAGGAUUUCUAACCUAAUAAUUGGGUUUCAUUAUAACAUUAUCAGGAUUAUCUAUCUUUAUAAUAUUUAAUUUAUAAUUUAAUAGGUUUAGUGUUAUUAAAGUUGGCUAUUUAUCCAUUUUGUGCAUAAUAAUCUCAAAUAGCUUUAUUUUUGGUACUUGGAACUGUAGUUUUGGGGUUUAUGCGUGUUCCUUCCAAUUUCCCAAAAGUGAAACUCCUGGUUAAUCGUACAUUUCACCCUUUAAUCUUGAAAUUUUGUUAAUGCAGUCCUUUUACUCUCUUUGUUUUUUGCUUAAGUCCAUUUUUAUUACUCUGAAUACAUCAUAUGAAGAUUUUAGUAAUAAAAACGAUGAGGAGUCUAAUUGAUCUUACCCUCUUAAUCUUCUAAUUAAAUAAAUUAAUUGAAGAAAAACUUCAGCAUAAUUAAAUUGUGAGGGAGAAUGGUAUAAAAUUCAUUUCACAGCUUAAUUUCCACAGAGUCCAACAACUUCGGCUUUAAGGUAUGCCUUUAUUUGCAAGGCAUUCACUGUCCUUCAAUUUUCCCACAGCUAAAAGCAUAGGACAGUUACUUUUCCUUCAAGGAGAGCUGUUGCGUGACACUGAGCUGCAAGAACUCUCUUUGCCUUCCUCUCUCAUCAAACUUCUAUCAAGGAAAAAUGUUCUCCACUAACAAUAGCCCAGAUCAAAACCGGAGAGGAACGAUGUUCUCCACUGAUAGUAUCCCAAAAUCAAAACUGGGGUGGAACAAUCUUCUCCAAUAACGUAUAUGGUGAUGAUGAUGAUAUCGUUAGAGCUUUUGCACAACGUUUCGGGGUUAGUGCUAAAGAUCCUGCAAUUAAGCACACCCUGUCUUGUAGUCUUGAAGAGCUUUAUCAAGGGGCUACCAAGACGGUAAAAAUAACUAGACAAGUAGCUGAUCGAAGGGGGUAAGUGUCCUAAACAUCACCUCUUUGGUCCCGUUUUAUGUUCAGCUGCUCUGUAGUUUUGAUCAAACAUGUUGACUCUGAUCACUAGUCCUGGGCUUGAUAUGCUUUCCUGUUGUCAAAGAUUUGUGUGAGAUAGUUAUUUUUCAUCAUUUUACAGUCUUCUGAAAGGUUCAAGAGCUUUGUUAAUGGUGUUUCUUGUGCUCUUUCUUUUUUGUGGGAUGGAGCGCAGCUUGAUCACCAGGAAAAUAGAGGAGAUUCUAACCAUUGACACAAAGCCUGGUUGGAAGAAAGGCACGAAGAUCACUUUCGAAGAGAAAGGGAACGAAAGACCAAAUACAACACCUGCGGAUGUUGUCUUCAUUGUUGAUGAAAAACCCCACUCUGAGUUUACUCGUGAUGGAAACGACUUGAUCGUCACUCGAAGGAUUUCUGUAACUGAAGCCUUUACAGGCUACACUGUCCAUCUUACAACCUUGGAUGGCAGGAAUUUAAGCCUUCCGAUCAAUGAUGUGAUCCAUCCCAACUAUCAGAAGGUUGUCCCGAAUGAAGGGAUGCCGAUCCUCGGCGACCCAGCAAAGAGAGGGAUUUUGAAAAUCAAGUUUGAUAUCAGGUUCCCAACAAGGGUUAAUGCAGAGCAGAAGGCAGGAAUCAGGAGACUCUUUGGUCCUUGAGAUCUCUAUAUCAGCAUGUGAGACAUAUCCUAUGUGAAGGAAGCCUUUGGAUUGGUAUCCUCUUGCUGCAGUUUGUGAUAAAUUGCAGUGGUAUUUGACAGUUUCAGACUUUUAAGUUGUGUUAUAUAUAUAUAUGAAGUAUGAAAUCUUUCUGAGAUGUUUAAUGUAGGGUUUGGCCAACUUCUGUGUCGAUGGAAAAUGCUUCCCCUUGAUUGGUGUUGAACUCUUCCUUUCUUCAGUUCAAAAGGUCGAGCAUGGAGAGCAUUUCCCUCCGGCCAUAUCCUGAAACAUGAGUCACUUCCCUGUAAAUGACACCUUCCAGGAUUUCCUCCUUCCCAUCCCUAACAUCACUAUCUGUCAAACAGUGAAAUAAAACUGAGAUAUGAUUAUAUUAUUUAUUAACAUAUAUUUUAAGUUUUAAUUAUUAAAACAUAUAUUUUUAAGUACGUUUUUAUCUUGAAAUUUAUAUAAAUUUAUAUUAAAUAUCAUAUCAAAGAAUUAAUUUAAUUUAAAAUUUUAAAAUAUAAUUUAUAUUAUUUUAUUUUGCUACUUAAUUCAAUAUGUUAAAAUAUAAAAGCAAUAUGUCCCAACAUAACUCAUUCAUUUUUUUAUUUCUUUCUUUUCCUUGAAGUUAGUUGAAAUAUAAAAAGAAACAUAGUCUCUUUUAGGAAUGCCUUUUUUUUCAUUUCACAUUAUCCUUUUGUUAUACCAUCGUAACUCAAAUCAAAAUACUGUUUACAUCACUGAUUCAAUCUAAAGAACUCCCCAAUUUUUUUCUUAGUUUGGUUGGCCACCUUCAUCACAGGCCACCAUGAUUUCCUUACCUCUCUCCUUCUUCCUUUGCUUUUCUCUCGCUACAAUUCACUUUCCUUCUCUCCAACCCCUCUUGAUUUGAUGUUUAAGACUUUGUUUGUGUUCUGCUAACUUUCACGUUAACAGUGAAUUAAACACAACAACAUAUUUGGUAUUAAAGAGUUUUAUACUGCGAAAACCAUUAAAAAAUUAAGUUCAAAAUGUAAGUUUUGUAUAGUAUUUUUUAUAUAUUUUUUUAAUUGAGUUUCAUAAUUAUUUUUUAUUAGUCUUCUUUUUAUUGUUUGCACAAAAACCAUAAUAUUUUAUCCAAACAUUUUAUAUAUGUGUUUUGUUAUACAUAAAUUUUAAUCACAGUUUUUAUUAAAUAUAUAUCUAAAUUUAAUUAAUUAUAAUUAAAAAUAUUUUUUAAAAAAUUUACUUUUUUUUAACACAGUGACAAAAAUAACCUAAAAAACAAAGGGUGUUCUCCCCUUCGUAAACUAGCCUCACGACCCCCUUUAACUCUCAAUCUCUAGCAAUUUAAAGGAAAAACUAGAGGUAGUUUUGAAAGGAAACCCUCCCCCCUUCUUCCAAUAGCUGCCGUCGGCCUCCCUCACAAAUAAAAGCAAGGUUGACUAUUUUGUAAUCCUAUUUUGGCCCCCAUUCAAUCUUUUAUUUCUCCCUUAGCUCUUUCCUUAAUCCUUAAGAAUCUAAAUAUUAUAAUUUAACCCCAUUUCAAUUUUUUAUUCCAAUUAACUCCUAAAACUAACCUUCCUCUUCUUUUUUUAUUUAUUCUUUUUUAUUAUUAUUAUUACCACGGAACAUUUUCAUCAUUGUUGUCAUUAUGACUAUCGAGGCUUAUGUGCAUUGCUAUAUAUUAAGGUUUUUUUAACAUGAUCAAUAAGCUAUACAAUAUGAUCAAUAUAAAAGAAAAUUAAAAACCAAAGAAUUAAAAAAAAAUGAAUUCAAAAGACAAAUCAAAUUAAAUUUGAUAAAUCAAGACACAAUUAUUUAUUUAUACCAAACUCGGUCUGAUGUCAUGGGUCAAUUCAAAGACUCUCCUCGAUCUACGUUAUCUUAUUUGAUAAAGACUAUAAGAGACAAGCAAACGAGGCAUUCGCACGUAGCUAUCUUUUUCAAUGUUUUCUUCCACAUCACAUGGGCAACAAUUAUCAAUGAGAUGCAAGCAAAUAAACUAUUUAGUAUGCUUUCUUUUUAUGUUUUAAAAAAAAAAUUAUUUUUUUAUUUUAAAUUAAUAAUUUUUAAAUAUUUUUAAAUCAUUUAAAUGUGCUAAUAUCAAAAAUAAAUUUUAAAAAAACAUUAUGUUUAUAUUUUUUAAAAUAAAAAAUAUUUUAAAAAAUAAUUACAACAACACUUUCAAACAAGCUGAAAUCCAAACCAUCUACGCUAAUAUUACUAUUGGGAAAUCUGUAUGAGAGAAUAUUCUAAAUCAUUAAAGAUUACUGCAAAAAUAAUUAAUGAUAUCGGAGUUUUACUAAUGAAAACAGUGUUGGUCUGGUGGUUAAGAUACUGUUAUAUCUCUGCAAGGGUAAGAAUACAAGUUCGAGCUCUAGAAAGCGUACUUAUUGAGAGUGGCAGUCACGAACCUCAAACGAGAAUAGUUUUACCUUUUAAAAAAGUGUGAAAAUACCGGAAUAAAAAAAAAACCAAAGAAAAGUCUGAAAUUUACCAACUUAAUCUUUUAAUUAAAUAAAUUAAUUGAAGAAAAAAAGGUAAGUGUUGGAGUUUGUGUCUCCUAAGCAAAUCAUAACAACUUAAGCUUUAUGUUGUGCCUCGCCAAUCACCGUCAUUCAACAAUUUCUCCACCACUUAAAAGUACGAGAGGUACGUAGGACAAUUACUUUUCCUUUUCCUUUAAGAGCAGUUGCGUUGCACUGAGCUAGAACAAUUCUCUUCAUCCACCUUCUAUCAACGAGAUGACUAGUCAGAGUAGGGCAACAGCUGAUGGUGUCUUUGCUGAAUUUUUCGGGUCUAAUAGCCCAAAUCAAAACAGGAGAGGAACAGUGUUCCCCAGUUACAGAAAUAAUGAAAAUGAUAUCUUUAGAAUCUUUGAGCGAGGCUUCGUGGUUAGUGCUCCUGGAAAAGAUCCUGCAAUUAAGCACACCCUGCCUUGUAGUCUUGAAGAGCUUUAUCAAGGGGCUACCAAGAGGGUAAAAAUAACUAGACAAGUAGCUGAUCGAAGGGGGUAAGUGUCCUAAACAUCACCUCUUUGGUCCUGUUUUAUGUUCAACUAGUGUCAACUGGUCCUGUUUUAUGGUCAACUGCUCUGUGGUUUUGAUCAAACAUGUUGACUCUGAUCAGUGGUCCUGGACUUGAUAUGCUUUCCUGUUGUCAAAGAUUUUUGUGAGAUAGUUAUUUUUCAUCAUUUUACAGUCUUCUGAAAGGUCCAAGAGCUUUGUUAAUGGUGUUUCUUGUGCUCUUUCUUUGUUGUGGGAUGGAGCGCAGCUUGACCAGGGAAAUAGAGGAGAUUCUAACCAUUGACACAAAGCCUGGUUGGAAGAAGGGCAAGGAGAUCACUUUCGAAGAGAAAGGGAACGAAAGACCAAAUCUAACACCUGCUGAUGUUGUCUUCAUUGUUGAUGAAAAACCCCACUCUGAGUUUACUCGUGAUGGAAACGACUUGAUCGUCACUCGAAGGAUUUCUGUAACUGAAGCCUUUACUGGCUACACUGUCCAUCUUACAACCUUGGAUGGCAGGAAUUUAACCCUUCCGAUCAAUGAUGUGAUCCAUCCCAACUAUCAGAAGGUUGUCCCGAAUGAAGGGAUGCCGAUCCUCGGCGACCCAACAAAGAGAGGGAUUUUGAAAAUCAAGUUCGAUAUCAGGUUCCCAACAAGGAUUAAUGCAGAGCAGAAGGCAGGAAUCAGGAGACUCUUUGGUCCUUGAGAUCUCAAUAUCAGCAUGCGAGACAUAUCCUAUGUGAAGGAAGCCUUUGGAUUGGUAUCCUCUUGCCGCAGUUUGCGUUUGUGUUUGUGUUUGUGUGUCUGUGUGAAGCAUGGCAUCUUUCUGAGAUGUUGAAUGCAGGGUUUGACCAUCUUCUUCAUAAUGUUCUUAAUGAAAACUGGUUUCCCUUGAUUGUUGUUGAAUCUUUCAUUUCUUGACAGUAAAAGGUACAACUUGAAAGAGCAUUUACUUCAUUUAAUUUCUCAUAUCAUGAUAAAAACUUGUGCCGAUGGAUGAGAUUCAAAAAUAUAUUAUUUAUAUUAUUUUUUUAUGUUAUUGAAUAUCUGAGUUCUAUCAAAAAAUACUUGAUUGCAUGAUCUAUUGUAAUUUAGACUGCAUCAGAAAAAAAAAUUAUAUACUCUUGAAUUAUAAUUGUGAAACUUGUUUGACCUAAUAAGUCAAUUAGGCUGAUCUAAUUUCUAGUUUAGAUCGAAGUUAAUUUGAUUUGAUCUGACUUAAUUAAUAAAUAAAUUAACUUAUAAUUCAGUUAAAAUCUAAUUUAAUUUUCAAAAAUUCUUCAAAAUAUUUUUGUUUUGGAUUGAUAUGUAGAAACCGUGACUUGGGCGUAUUCCAAGCUGAAUUUAGUAAUCUAGUCCUGAAUACAACAAAAGAUAAUCAAGUCGAUUCAAGGGCAUAGACCCAACCAUUAGCAAAAGGACCAAACUAGAGAAAUACUAAAAGUAUAAGGAUAUAUUUAACAGCAGCACAAAGCAAGGUACAAUAAAGAAUAGAGGUGCAAAUUUAGCACUAACCCAACUCCUAAACACCACAAACCCCCAAAAAUUACUACUCUACCUCCACCAUCAUGACAUCACCAUAAAUUAACAGAACAAGGGCGAGCGAGCAAAGCACCCCAAAGCACUGGUUCAUUGACAUCUUGAUUGAUCUCCGUUGCAGUGAAGGUGAUAUAUAGCUUUGCACAGGCACUGAUUCCUCUAUAAAUACAUGAACUUCAAUUACUUAGUAGUGCAGUUAAAGGACAUACGAUGUAAGAAACAUGAGCUUCCCUGUAAUAAAACCUGUUGUUGCCUGUACCUUCCUCUCGGUUCCUUCUCCUUCUUCUGUAACCCUAGCUCGGAGAAGGUUACAUUGAGAAAUUCAGUAUUUCGCAUGCAUCAACAAUACUCUAAGAACUAUAAGGUUAUUUCUCUAGUCACUGAAAUCUGAAAAAGAAGAUUCGGAGCAAUAAUCUGGAUCCCCAUUUUGCUCUCCAUCUCUCUCCCUGGUUCCAUCCCCGUCCAAGUCCUCGUUGAUGUAUUCUUCAUUAUGUAUGAGAUGGAUACAUUGAAUUUCUUGACCCUUGGAACUACAGCAGCUGCUGUUCUAAUAUAGUAACAUCCUUGUAAUGGCGGAUUUUCUGAAUCCAUUCACUAAAAUGUAGCUUUUCAUCACUUUUCUUUAAUGCCAUAGUUUAUGUGUUUGUUAAUGCAAUUCACUGAAAAAAUCAUUGAUGGGCUAGCUUGACUUGUUUCUUGAUAUCGAUGCACCUCGUCAGCCACUCGAAAGCAAAUAAAUGUCGGUGUGAAUGGAAAGUUACUUUGUUGAAAUUUCUAAACCAAGAUAUGUAAGUUAGAACUCUAUUUAAAAUAGAGUUGUGGUUUUUUUAAACUAUAGAUAUAUCUUUUGUUUUAAAAAGUUAACGUUAUUAACAUUCGUGACAUUGUUUUAAAUAGUGUGUUAGAAAGAAUAUUAAAAAGAAAAUUGCUAGUAUUUCUAAAACUCUUAUUUUUUUUUAUCUUGUUAAUGUAUUUAGAGUAUGGUUGCGGUUGUUUUUUAAAAUGUUUCUCAUGCUAAAAUGUAUUAAAAUAAUAUUAUUUUAUUUUAUUAAAAAUUAUUUUUGAGAUCAAAAUAAUUCAAAAUAUAAAAAAAAUUAUUUUUUAGAACCCGGGUUAGCCCGCGUUUCCAAACUCUAUAUUAAAAUCACUCCACUACUUCAAAUAACAUAUAAAUAUUCGUUAUUAAGAUAUUAAUAAUAAGAGAUUGAAUAUAUUUGAAAAACAAUUUUGCAAUUAUAUUGUUAGCACCUCGGAAUAAAUUGUUUUUAAGAUACUAGAUCAUGUCAAUCUUAAAACAACUUAAAGUAUUCCGACAAUGAAUUUCAUUGCAAGCAGGGAAAAAACACAAGAAAUCACAAUAUUAUCUGUUAGAUUGUGUGGUUAGUGUUUUAAAAAAAAUGGUAUAAAAAAGAUAAAAAUGUGUCUGGUGAAAGAAAUUAAGACAAAAACAUAAAAUAAAUAUAUUUUUAGUAUAGCUUUAAGUAAAUCUAUGUAUUUUUAAAAUAAAAAAUACAAUAAAACAUGUCAUAUCUAUCCUAACUUAAUUUGAAAUUAUCACAAGAAAACAUGUCAUUAUAUAAUAAUCAAACACUAACUUAAUUUUAUCUUAUGCUGCCCUUUAAGAAUUUCAACAUUUUCAGUAAGCAUUUUAAGCAAGGAGUUAGACUGUCGUUUUUCCAUGGAGCUUUACCAUGUAAUGCUCAGCCCCUGAUAAAAAUUAAGAACAAUCAAGCAUCAAAGCACACAGAAUUUGAGCAGAAAAUCAAGGCGCUGAUGAUAAAAAUAUAAAAUGCACUCAUGUUGCCUGCAAUGCUAGGAUUUCUAACCUAAUAAUUGGGUUUCAUUAUAACAUUAUCAGGAUUAUCUAUCUUUAUAAUAUUUUAUUUAUAAUUUAAUAGGUUUAGUUUUAUUAAAGUUGGCUAUCCAUUUUGUGCGUAAUAAUCUCAAAUAGCUUUAUUUUUGGUACUUGAAACUGUAGUUUUGGGGUUUAUGCGUGUUACUUAUAAUUUCCCAAAAGUGAAACUCCUGGUUAAUCGUACAUUUCACCCUUUAAUCUUGAAAUUUUGUUAAUUCAGUCCUUUAUUUUUUUUUGCUUAAGUUCAUUUUUAUUACUCUGAAUACAUUAUAAUAUGGUAUCAAAAAGUUUUGGUAGUUGAUGACAUGAUUUAUUGAAAUUUAGAUUGGAUCAAAUAAGAAAUAAUUAAAAAAAAUUAUAUGUUUUUAAAACAGAUGUUGUUAAAAAAAAAAAAACUCUAAGUAAACUACACAAUAUAAUCAAUAUAAAAGAAAGUAAAAAAAAAAUUCAAAAAAUAAAUCAAGAAGGAAAGGAAAAAAUACAUCAUUGAUAAAAUUAUUAGAGAAUAAUAUAAAUUAUAUAUUAGAACCUCAUCUAACAACUUAAGCAAUUGAGUUAAGAUGUUUAUUUGACAUAAUAUCAUAGCCUUAAUGAUCAAGCGGUCACGGGUUCGAAUCUCAUCAUCUAUAUUUAUUUAAUAAAAAUUAAACACAAAAUAAUGUGAGUUAUACAAGUUUCAAGUAUAAAGAGUUUUCACUCGAGGGAAUUUGUGAAUUCUAUCGUUACAUCAUUUCAUUUAUUUUAUCCAUACCAUCAACUUUGUUAUCUAAUCUUUAUGCGUAAAUCUUUAAAAUCAUUAGUGAUUAAUAUAAAAAUCAUUCUAGAAUUUUUAUUCUAAACUUUGGAUUUUAAGUUUAGGUAUUUUAACAUCAUAUGAAGAUUUUACUAAUAAAAACGACGAGGAGUCUAAUUAAUCUUACCCUCUUAAUCUUCUAAUUAAAUAAAUUAAUUGAAGAAAAACUUCAGCAUAAAUUGUGAGGGAGAAUGGUAUAAAAUUCAUUUCACAGCUUAAUUUCCGCACAGUCCAAAAACUUAGGCUUCAAGGUAUGCCUUUAUUUGUAAGGCAUUCACUGUCCUUCAAUUUUCCUACAACUAAAAGCAUAAGACAGUUACUUUUCCUUCAAGGAGAGCUGUUGCGUGACACUGAGCUGCAAGAACUCUCUUUGCCUUCCUCUCUCAUCAAACUUCUAUCAAGGAAAAAUGUUCUCCACUAACAAUAGCCCAGAUCAAAACCGGAGAGGAACGAUGUUCUCCACUGAUAGUAUCCCAAAUCAAAACUGGAGUGGAACAAUCUUCUCCAAUAACGUAUAUGGUGAUGAUGAUGAUAUCGUUAGAGCUUUUGCACAACGUUUCGGGGUUAAUGCUAAAGAUCCUGCAAUUAAGCACACCCUGUCUUGUAGUCUUGAAGAGCUUUAUCAAGGGGCUACCAAGAGGGUAAAAAUAACUAGACAAGUAGCUGAUCGAAGUGGGUAAGUGUCCUAAACAUCACCUCUUUGGUCCCGUUUUAUGUUCAGCUGCUCUGUAGUUUUGAUCAAACAUGUUGACUCUGAUCACUGGUCCUGGUCUUGAUAUGCUUUCCUGUUGUCAAAGAUUUGUGUGAGAUAGUUAUUUUUCAUCAUUUUACAGUCUUCUGAAAGGUCCAAGAGCUUUGUUAAUGGUGUUUCUUGUGCUCUUUCUUUUUUGUGGGAUGGAGCGCAGCUUGAUCACCAGGAAAAUAGAGGAGAUUCUAACCAUUGACACAAAGCCUGGUUGGAAGAAAGGCACGAAGAUCACUUUCGAAGAGAAAGGGAACGAAAGACCAAAUAUAACACCUGCUGAUGUUGUCUUCAUUGUUGAUGAAAAACCCCACUCUGAGUUUACUCGUGAUGGAAACGACUUGAUCGUCACUCGAAGGAUUUCUGUAACUGAAGCCUUUACAGGCUACACUGUCCAUCUUACAACCUUGGAUGGCAGGAAUUUAACCCUUCCGAUCAACGAUGUGAUCCAUCCCAACUAUCAGAAGGUUGUCCCGAAUGAAGGGAUGCCGAUCCUCGGCGAUCCAUCAAAGAGAGGGAUUUUGAAAAUCAAGUUCGAUAUCAGGUUCCCAACAAGGAUUAAUGCAGAGCAGAAGGCAGGAAUCAGGAGACUCUUUGGUCCUUGAGAUCUCUAUGUCAGCAUGCGAGACAUCUCCUAUGUGAAGGAAGCCUUUGGAUUGGUAUCCUCUUGCUGCAGUUUGUGAUAAAUUGCAGUGUUAUUUGACAGUUUCAGACUUUUAAGUUGUAUAUAUAUGAAGUAUGAAAUCUUUCUGAGAUGUUUAAUGUAGGGUUUGGCCAGCUUCUUAAUUAUGGUGUCAAUGGAAAAUGCUUCCCCUUGAUUGGUGUUGAACUCUUCCUUUCUUCAGUUCAAAAGGUCGAGCAUGGAGAGCAUUUCCCUCCGGCCAUAUCCUGAAACAUGAGUCACUUCCCUGAAACAUGAGUCCUAACAUCACUAUCUGUCAAACAGUGAAAUAAAACUGAGAUAUGAUUAUAUUAUUUAUUAACACAUAUAUUUUUAAGUAAGUUUCUAUCUUGAAAUUUAUAUAAAUUUAUAUUAAAUAUCCUAUCAAAGAAUUAAUUCAAUCUAAAAAUUUAAAAUAUUAAAUAAAAUUUUAAAAUAUGAUUUAUAUUAUUUUAUUAUACUACUUAAUUCAAUAUAUUAAAAUAUAAAAGCAAUAUGUUCCGGCAAUUACUCUAUUUCAUGAUAUAGCUAUCAAAGAGUACUUUCCUGUCAAUACAUGGCCAAAUCUAUCACUCAAAUCAAAAUGCUGUUUACAUCACUGAUUCAAUUUGAAGAACUCCCCCAUUUUUUUCUUAGUUUGGCCGGCCACCUUCAUCACAGGCCACCAUAAUUUCCUUGCUCUCUCCUUCUUCCUUUGCUUUUCUCUCGCUAAGUUCACUUUCCUUCUCUCCACCCUCUCUUAAUUUGACGUUUAAGGCUUUAUUUGUUUUCUGCUAGCUUUCAUGUUAACAAUAAAUAAAACACAACAACAUGUUUGAUAUUAAAAAAAAUAAAGUUUUAUAUUGCAAAAUUCAUUGAAAAACUGAGUUCAAAACAUAAGUUUUAUGUACUAGUUUUUACAUAAUUUUUAAACUAAAUUUCGUAAUUAUUCUUUACUAUUUUUUUUUAUUGUUUGUAAAAAUCCAAAAUAUUUUAUUCAAAUAUUUUAUAUAUUUAUUUUGUUAUAUAUAAACUUUAACUACGGUUUUUAUAAAACAUAUAUUUAAAUCCACCUAACUAUACUAAAAAUAUUUUUUCUAAAUCUAUCUUUUUAAAAUUUUAAUCACAAAAAUUAAAAAGAAAGGUGUUCUCCCCAUUCGUAAACUAGCCUCACAACCCCCUUUUAACUCUGAAUCUCUUGCAAUUUAAAGGAAAAACUAGAGGUAGUUUUGAAAGAAAACCGUCCCCCCUUCUUCCAAUAGCUGUAAUCCUAUUUUAGCCCCCAUUAAAUCUUUUAUUUCUCCCUUAGCUCUUUCCUUAAUCCUUAAGAAUCUAAAUAUUAUAAUUAACCCCAUUUCAAUUUUUUAUUCCAAUUAACUCCUAAAACUAACCUUCCUCUUCUUUUUUUAUUUAUUCUUUUUCUUUAUUACCACGGAACAUUUUCAUUAUUUUUGUCGUUAUUAUUAUGGAGGUUUAUAUGCAGUGUAAUAUAUUAAGGUUUUUUUAACAUGAACAAUAAGCUAUACAAUAUGAUCAAUAUAAAAGAAAAUUAAAAACCAAAGAACUCAAAAGACAAAUCAAAUUAAAUUUGAUAAAUCAAGACACAAUUAUUUAUUUAUAUCAAACUCGGUCUGAUGUCAUGGGUCAAUUCAACGACUCUUCUCGGUCUCCGUUAUCUUAUUUGAUAAAGACUACAAAGGACAAGCAAACGAGGCAUUCACACGUACCUAUCUUUUUCAAUGUUUUCUUCCACAUCACAUGGCCAACAAUUAUCAAUGAGAUGCAAGCAAAUAAUCUAUUUAUUACAUUUUGUUUUUGUGUUUAAAAAUAUUUAAAAAAAAUUAUAUUUUUUUUAUUUACCAACUUAAUCUUUUAAUUAAAUAAAUUAAUUGAAGAAAAAAAAGGUAAGUGUUGGAGUUUGUGUCUCCUAAGCAAAUCAUAACAACUUAAGCAUAAUGUUGUGCCUAGCCAGUCACCGUCCUUCAAUUUCUCCACCACUUUAAAAGCAUGAGAGGUACGUAGGACAAUUACUUUUCCUUUUCCUUUAAGAGCAGUUGCGUUACACUGAGCUGGAACAAUUCUCUUCGCCUUUCUUUCAUCCACCUUCUAUCAACGAGAUGACUAGUCAGAGGAGGGCAACAGCUGAUGAUGUCUUUGCUGAAUUUUUCGGGUCUAAUAGCCCAAAUCAAAACAGUAGAGGAACAGGGUUCUCCAGGAACAUAAAUGGCGAUGAUAAUGAUAUCUUUAGAUCCUUUGAACAAAGCUUCGUGGUUAGUGCUCCUGGAAAAGAUCCUGCAAUUAAGCACACCCUGCCUUGUAGUCUUGAAGAGCUUUAUCAAGGGGCUACCAAGAGGGUAAAAAUAACUAGACAAGUAGCUGAUCGAAGGGGGUAAGUGUCCUAAACAUCACCUCUUUGGUCCUGUUUUAUGGUCAUCUAGUCCUGCUUUAUGGUCAACUGGUCCUGUUUUAUGGUCAACUGCUUCGUGGUUUUGAUCAAACAUGUUGACUCUGAUCACUGGUCCUGGACUUGAUAUGCUUUCCUGUUGUCAAAGAUUUGUGUGAGAUAGUUAUUUUUUUUUAAUCAUUUUACAGUCUACUGAAAGGUCCAAGAGCUUUGUUAAUGGUGUUUCUUGUGCUCUUUCUUUUUUGUGGGAUGGAGCGCAGCUUGUCCAGGAAAAUAGAGGAGAUUCUAACCAUUGACACAAAGCCUGGUUGGAAGAAAGGCACGAAGAUCACUUUCGAAGAGAAAGGGAACGAAAGACCAAAUGUAACACCUGCUGAUGUUGUCUUCAUUGUUGAUGAAAAACCCCACUCUGAGUUUACUCGUGAUGGAAACGACUUGAUCGUCACUCGAAGGAUUUCUGUAACUGAAGCCUUUACAGGCUACACUGUCCAUCUUAUUACCUUGGAUGGCAGGAAUUUAACCCUUCCGAUCAAUGAUGUGAUCCAUCCCAACUAUCAGAAGGUUGUCCCGAAUGAAGGGAUGCCGAUCCUCGGCGACCCAACAAAGAGAGGGAUUUUGAAAAUCAAGUUUGAUAUCAGGUUCCCAGCAAGGGUUAAUGCAGAG